rnacentral:misc_RNA from 1 species
UUGUUUUCGGUAAAGGUCGUGCAGUUCACGCGGCCCGUCGAUGCUAACGCCGAUGUUGACGUUCCAUUUCUUAAUGAGUUCGCACCAGGCUUCAGAAACCAGCGUUCCGUUGGUCUGAAAUGAAUGUCGGAUAUUCAAAUGAGGUGCGGCGAUAGCCCGGAUCAGUUCAAACAUCCGUUCGUAGUAACUAACCGACAGAACCAU